GACGAACGCUGGCGGCGUGCUUAACACAUGCAAGUCGAACGGAAAGGCCCUGCUUUUGUGGGGUGCUCGAGUGGCGAACGGGUGAGUAACACGUGAGUAACCUGCCCUUGACUUUGGGAUAACUUCAGGAAACUGGGGCUAAUACCCGAUAGGAGCUCCUGCUGCAUGGUGGGGGUUGGAAAGUUUCGGCGGUUGGGGAUGGACUCGCGGCUUAUCAGCUUGUUGGUGGGGUAGUGGCUUACCAAGGCUUUGACGGGUAGCCGGCCUGAGAGGGUGACCGGCCACAUUGGGACUGGGGUACGGCCCAGACUCCUACGGGAGGCAGCAGUGGAGAAUAUUGCACAGUGAGCGGAAGCCUGAUGCAGCGACGCCGGGUGCGGAAUGACGGCCUUCGGGUUGUGAACCGCUUUCGCCUGUGACGAUGCGUGAGUGACGGUAAUGGGUGAAGAAGCACCGGCUAACUACGUG
rnacentral:rRNA from 1 species